CACUCUUGAACAGAUUUCUCGGUGUUCCACUUUCUAUUCGCCACGUCGAACACGACUGCCAAACAUACCGUGUGCCUCAGCUUCGCUCUCUCUUUGACUUUUUCUUAUUGCCUUCCUCCUUUUUUUUUGCCUCGUCUUUUCCUUGUUUCGCCGCUUCGUUUCGCACACAUCCCCCUUUUUUUUUGUGUGUGCAGCUCUCACAAGUCCCUCUCUCCUCCCACUCCUCCGAGCCUUCCUCAUCUCCCCUCUCGUUGCUUCCUGUUAUCUUUUUUUUUUCGUUUUUUUUUUUGUUUCUUUCUCAUCACGGUCUAAAAUAGAAAUUGAAGGUGCUAUUAAGCACAUUGUAUCCACAUCCUUGACUUGUGUCUGUGUGUGCGUGAGUGUGUUUCUCUUUCCUUCUUUGUCGUCGUUCUCUUUCUCUCUCCGAAUGUUUUUGUUCUCUUUCUGCAUUCUUUCUCAUCUUCGCUGUUGGUAGCUGACGCGCCGACUCACACCGUGCCUACACUCCUACGGUUAUACGCUCACAGACACAGGCAUUGCCUACUUGCUCCAUUCUCCUCCAAACUCUGCCCCUCACUGCAACAAAAAAAAGAAAAACCAGAAAGGCUAAAAAAAUACACGCACACACACACGCGAUCAGGAGCGCAUUCCUCCUCUUUUUUUAUUAGGGAUCUGGACAUUGUGGUGGAUCCUCUUUUUUUCUCGUAUAGUUUCCGUUUUCGCGCAUCUUUUGCUCUCUUUCCGUCCACGUUCUUCUUCGUCCCUUUUACCCCGGCCUCUCCUGCCUCCCCCCUCACGCACACACUCGCUUACACCGCCUUCCGCUCUCUCUUAGUUUCGUCUUUCGGUUCUUCCGUCUGCAUUCUCUGUGAGCAGCUACUCAUCCCCGCAUAUACAACGGCGGAAACGAAAGAAGCAGCACGGGCACAUCAGCGUACAACUACACGCACUUUACACCCCCAAACAGAGGACGAUCCCUCCUCCCCUUCCUGCUCCAACAACAACAAAAAUGGGCUGCAUUUCCGGGAUAAUAUUCGGCAUCCUCCAGUUUGUGGCGCUACUCUUCAUCGCUGUUGGCACCCCGCUGGCGAUGUACAUGCCACUGAACGACAAUGCUCUCCACAUCCACAACGGCUACUGCAUUUCGCUGUGGGGGAUUCGCGAUAGAUGCUUGAUAUUGCUGUACUCGGUUAGUCCUAACGAUGUCUGGGCUGAGUGCAACGGCCGCGUGGGUCGCUUCAAAACGGCGCAGGUGUGCGCCAUUGCGGGUGCCGUCAUCCUCGCUGCUUCGAUGCUGGGAAGCUUUCUGGAUGCGUGCUGCUGCUACUGCAUCAAGUACGUGUGUGUUUUGCUGAACUUACUGGCCGCGGCUCUGCUUGCAGUCAGCUGGGGCUGCAUGCUGGAUUGCUAUGUGCAUAAUCAAGGUAGCCAUAUUGUCGGUAACGUGGACGUGUGCACGCAAAUGCGCAACUUCACCGGCGUUGAUAACGCACACCCCGAGGGAAUGCAGCUAGGCGCUGGUUUUGCUCUUCUCAUUGCCGCCUUCGUUAUCAGCUUCGUGAACAUCUUUGUCAUGUUUAUUCCGUGCUGAAGUCGGGCUUGCAAGGACCCACCCCCUCUGCAGAAGCACAGAAGCGCAGGAUACUGCACGUUGCCCCCACCCCCUCCCGAAGAAACAAAAAUAAAAACAACGAAAAGAAAAAAAAUAGUGAGUGAUGGGUCGGCUGAGACACCAGAGAGAAGCGUUCGCCAUGCGGUGAAAGAGGGAGCGGUGAACACAAGCGCCAAGUGGAAAAGCAGGCGCACUGCACGCACAAGUGCUUUUCAAGCCGCGAAAAACAAAAAGAAACAGCAAGGCCCACGCAUAAACCGCGGGGGCGGGGGUGGGGGGGGUGGGGCUGCGGCACUAGCUAAACGCGCACUCGAUGACGGCGACAAAGACUGCACUGAAAUCUUGUCGCGCGCACCCCAAGAGGAUUUUGCGGCUCCCUUCCUUUUUUCUUUCAGCGCCUUGCGCUUGCCGGUGACUGUUUUGCGGCCAUUCAUUCUGGUGUCUGUGCUUCGGUGCCUCAAUGGGCGCGCUUUUCGAAAGAGCCAGCAGCAUGUUGGCCCAGCAAUGGAACGCUUAUGAACCAACUGCAGUGGGACGAUCUCGCGGACCAGCAAGACAGACAAGGACGACGGAGCAAUGGUAAAGGGAAGGGUAAGAAGCGCAGAGUAAAAGAGAUCUAAAUGGAAGCAUCUUUUUCUUUAAUUUCGAGCUCUUCUACGCGUCGCAAGCCGUGAUGGCAGGGGAGGGGGAGGCACACCUCUCAGUGUGUGGUGGUGUCACAAGACUCAGCACCCCUCCCCCACUCUCUGUGUGCUUAGGGAAGCCAAGCAGCCCCUCACCCCCCCCCCCUGCGCCUGCUAAUGCGGGGCCACCUCUGGUGGUGGCAGGGUCCAGAACCCACGACGUGGGGAGGUCAGAGCGAUUCGCCGCUACUGAUGUCGGGGGACCAGGCCUGGAUGGCGUUGCGCCGAAGCGGCCUGCGACGGUGAACACGCCUGCGCCAAUCCAUAUGAUGGGCGGAGUGCCAGCGUGACUCGAGCAUACUCCACCCCGACCCUCGCACUGCCGACUGGUGGUGGUGGUGGGUGGGGGGCCUGAGCCACCCGGAGAGAGACUCGCCAAGUAACGACUGGCACAGUAGGAGCGGCUGUGAGGCGACCUGCAGCACGGGGGGUCGGUAGAGCUUGAGGCCGAGGCGGUGCUCCGAUGACUGAGUCGGCGCAUUGCUGCAGCGCGUGUGUCUACGGCUGCCUUGCACCACGCGAGGUGGGGGCCUGUGGGGCCGGCCAGAGGGGUGGAGUGGUGCUUGGCUCCUGUUGUGUGGCCCAGAAGGGACACGCGUUGGGUGGAGGCGGAGGGGAGUCUUUUGCGCUGAAAAUAUGUUGGUGUCCGCCUUGAGUGUGUUGUGCGCUUCUUUCGUCACGGCACAGUUGCCACGAAUAUGUUUUUCGUGGUCUUGCAGUGUCUGCGUCUUCUUUGUUUCUCCAACCCGUAUCCAGCUGCUGUGCGUACCUCGGUCUCACUUUCACAUCCGCCUCCGCGCUUUUUUUUUCUUUCUUCGUCGAGUGUUUUGCCAUGCCGCUUGUUGUGGGUAUUCUAUAUGCGUGUUUCUCUUGUACGAGUCUUCACGAAUCUCCUUGCUGUUGCCCAACGCAGAGGGGCAAAACACACACACAUAUAUGUGCAUACAUCGAUAUCUUAUGUAUGUCUAUGUAUACGCAGAAAAACAUAAGAAACGAUUCGAAACGGACGUCGAUUUUUUUUUUUCGCGUGCUAGCCUGUUCUUUUUUUUUUUCGGCCCUUGUCUACUCGGCGUGCUUUCUCACUAUCUGCGAUGACGCGUCAGACCUUCCACUAGCGGCUUCCGUUUGCCUGUCUUCUUUUUCCCCCUUUUUUCGUUGGUGUUUUCUAUGUAAACGUGUCCGUUUGGCUUGUGACGCACAGCAGCCGCAACUACAGGAAAGAAACACGCAAGCAAAGACACAGGUGGAAGCGUUGGUCUUCGGCUAAGAUCAGCUCUUUUUCCUUGUGCCUCCCCCUCCCUAUCUUUUUUUUGCUUGUCUUCGCCUUUCUCUCUCUCGACCUGCACGGCUAUGCGUGUCUCUGUCCCUUAUGUUCGUCGAAAGGGUUCCUAGAAGAGGAGAGAGGGAGAGACACAGAGCGUCUCUUAAUGCUGGUGAUAUUUCUCUGGGCAUGUGCACAUGCGCAACGUAUGCCCAUGCGCUCGUUCUGUUGUUUUUAUGCCCUCCUCAUCGAAAAGAGACGAGCCUUCGCCCCUUUCCCGCCCCCUAAAAUCAUGCAGAUGCAAAGAUGUGCUAGGACAACACAGAGAGAUAGUGCAGCGUGCCCCCCACCCCACCCGGAUGCUCAUCUGUGAUGCUAGGACAGCAUGCCGUUUUUUUUUAUAUUUUCGUUGCUUCUUGUACGCAAGCGACAGAGUAGGCACGAAGGAGAAGGCGCCUGCGGGUGUCUGUCUUUGUGCCCUCUCUUUUUUUUUUUGGGGGGGGGCUUCAAUCACUGAAAACAAAAAAAUUCGCGUCUGUGUGUGUCUCCCUUUCCCCUUCGCUUUUGGCUUGUGUUCGGUCUCUUGUUUCAGGCUCUUCCUUCUUCCUUUGUGCGUCCCUGUUGCCGGCGAUUCUCCUCAGUGCUGCUUCUCUCGUGUUUCUCGACGCCCGCUUGUUUCGUGUCUCUUUUUGUUUGUUAACUUAAACUUCGUUUUUGGUGUGCCUUUCUUGUAUUCCACUCCGCCCCCUUUUUCCCUCAACCCCUGUGCUUUUUUUUUCUUUUCCAACUCGGGCUGGUGUGAUUACCUCGCAUCACCCUCCCUCUUUUUAGCUCGUUUUCGUGCUGUUUUCCUCCGCUUUCCCUACACAUGCGGGCAAGCCAUCCAUACACGCCCACCCUCUAUGGCAUCGACGGAAGAUGAAGACAGCAAGCCCCCCACCCUCCACUCCCCGGACAACACUAUCGUCCCGAAGCAAACCCCACAAUCCAAAAAAAAAUGCGAAUGCUGUGCUCACAGGUUGCCAAGCAUAUAGACCGUGAUAUAUAUCAUCCGAACGAGGCAUGCGGAGGUCAGCAGAGUAGAAGUGAUGGGCGAAAAAGGCGCACAGAGGCACACUGAUCAGCCGCAAAGUGCAUGCGUGCGAAGCGUGCGACAUAUCCUGCGUCCGACGCGGUGGGCUGAUGAGGUGCAGCUACCCGAAGCGUGUCGAGAGCUCCCCUGAAUGGCACCAUCGAGUCGGCCAGAGUCGCGUGCGCGGAGCAUUCACACCAUAUUACGGCAUGCGGCGGCUUGAAGCGACCGAGGGAGGGGCAUGGCGUGCAGGCGGAGGACAGGGUCUGAGAGGGCCCUGGGCUGCGGCUGGCCCAUCUCCUCUCGGUGCUCAUGUGAUCCGCGCCUGCACCAGCCCCUGCGGCCUGCACGGCUGACGUCGCCGCCUCCGCCCUCGAGCAGGGCCCUGCACCGGGGUUCGUGUGACGUCGGUCGCGCUGCACGCGUGCGAGGGCGAUACACGGAAGGACAAGGCGGGCUCGCUAGACGCAUGGACCGACUCGACGGCGGCCGACUCGGCGUGGACGGCCCGGAUGUAGCCGUGGUGCGGCAGGGGUGGGUGGGCCGCGGCUGCGUGCGUACACGUGUCGACCCGGCCGUGGUGGAGUGAGACGUUGACUAAAGAAAAAGUAGACCGCUUCAAUCCUUUGCCUCUGCUGGGCUCUCUUGCUCACUGCAUGACGCCUUCGCGCAUUUUCUUUGGCAGACUUGCAUGCGUGCGCUCGCCACAACGUGGGGAGGGCGCAUAGUUUUCAAUACGCUAAUGUGCGCAUCUUGUCUCGUUCGGCGACCGUCUCGCUCGACCCGCCCCCCUGUCGUACAAAAUCAUAGGCAGAAGAAGAAGCGUAGGCAGACAGCUCAGCAUGUGAGCGCGGGCGUGGGCUUGCUGGUAUGUGGGGAGGAGGGAUCGAAAAGAACGGAGUUGCGACCAGGACGGCAAAGACAGGACAGUGGUUUGAAGAAAAGGGAUAGAAAUUCUCCGGCCUCGUUGCAUUGCUGGUUUUUUCUUUAUUUUUCCUUUUGUUUGCAUGUGCGCGUGUGCGGAUGUGUGGUGAGUGGAUGUGGUUUCGUGCUCCCCUCACCUGCGAUAAUCAAGCGGGCUUCUCUUUUUCAGUGCCUUGUAAUGUAUAUGUUUCCGUUUUUUCUUUGUGCCUUAUUCGGAGAAUAAGGGUCUCGUUUCUCUCCUUCGCUUGGCCACCUUUCAAUGGGGGCUGUCGAGUCUUCGCUUUACUGGAUUAUUUCCUCCCAGUGUGUGUCUGCAGCGAGUGCUGGAUUACGGGAAAGGAAGGGGGUGAAAAACGAACGAAGAUAUCGACGGACCAUCUCCCCACCCCGCUCCCAGUAAAAGCCCUUCGACUUUUUGUUUUUCUGUUCUCUCUGUACUCUAGUUGACAUUGUCGAGAGCAGCAGCUGCAACACUUUAGAUCGGGUGUUGUUUCUUCUCAUUUCUUUACCCACAUGACCCUUUCACCGGCAUUGUAUCAGCAUAUCUCAGUGCAUAUACAUGCGUGCAACCCACAGAGACACGCCGCCGCAAAAAAAAAAGGACAGACAGACUCGCCGACGCGCAGCAGUGGUUGAGAGGGCUGCACGACUUGUCUUAGACAGAUGACGAAGGAAGAGAAGGAAACGGAGGCGGUAGAGGAGUGACAGAGACACGAGGAAGAGAGUGAUAGCUAUAAAACCCCCUCCCCCUCCUCCAUGCACCCACGCACUACCGUCUCCUAAUCCUCGUCUACUUCAGACCUCCUCCUCUCUUCCUCAUCUACCUUUUCUUUUUUUCUUCUGUGACGGACACCUAUGCCCACAUGACGUGCUCAACACAGUCAGCAAAGAAGGGCGGGUUGGGUGGGUGGGCGGGAGGGAGGAAUAGCACACGCUUGAACGGACACUUUCACACAAAGGAAGGAUGGAUAUUGGGUACGCACAUACACACACACAGUUGCAUAUAUACAUGCAUGCACACACUCAUAUGCUUUUAUGGAGUAUACAUGCGCGUAUGCAUGCGUGCGUGUGUGUGUGUGUGUGCCUCCUCUGGUCCCUCCCCUCCCGCCCCUGCCUUUUUUCUUGUCUCCUUUUUUGGCAUGCCUUCGCUUGGCCAUUAUGUAGACUGUCUUCUUCCUUUUAUUCGCCUUUGCUCGCGUUCUCUUCCCCCUCUCGUGUGCGUGUGCUUACUAUCACUCUUCUGCCGAGUGUAGAUGGUCGACGACUGCGGCGACCGCGAGGCGAACAACAUACGGGCGAACCCGUAAGAAAGAACGAAAUGAAGAAACAAGGGUGGCGGGGGGCACUAAAACUUCCUCUUUCCCUUCAUAAGUGUUGCAGGAUAACGUCGAACAC
rnacentral:misc_RNA from 1 species